AGCGUAGAGUAGGCCGUGCAUUCCGUUCCAAGGACACUGUGUGCCCGCGGAGUAGCCAUCAUGAGCAAAGCUCACCCUCCCGAGUUGAAAAAAUUUAUGGACAAGAAGUUAUCAUUGAAAUUAAAUGGUGGCAGACAUGUCCAAGGAAUAUUGCGGGGAUUUGAUCCCUUUAUGAAUCUUGUGAUAGAUGAAUGUGUGGAGAUGGCGACUAGCGGACAACAGAACAAUAUUGGAAUGGUGGUAAUACGGGGAAAUAGUAUCAUCCUGUUAGAAGCCUUGGAACGAGUAUAAAUAAUGGCUGUUCAGCGGAGAAACCCAUGUCCUCUCUCUCAU